ACGGCGAAUGCCGGCAUGGACUACAUGGUGUCGCGGGUUCGAAUCCCGCCCUGCGCAAGCGGGUAGCUCAGCCUGGUAGAGCACAACCGUCCGCCAUCUUUCGUCGCCGUGAC
rnacentral:Y_RNA from 2 species